rnacentral:rRNA from 1 species
GAUGAAACUAGAUACAAGCGAGCGGCGGACGGGUGAGUAACACGUGGGUAACCUGCCCAAGAGACUGGGAUAACACCUGGAAACAGAUGCUAAUACCGGAUAACAACACUAGACGCAUGUCUGAGUUUAAAAGAUGGUUCUGCUAUCACUCUUGGAUGGACCUGCGGUGCAUUAGCUAGUUGGUAAGGCAACGGCUUACCAAGGCAAUGAUGCAUAGCCUAGUUGAGAGACUGAUCGGCCACAUUGGGACUGAGACACGGCCCAAACUCCUACGGGAGGCAGCAGUAGGGAAUCUUCCACAAUGGACGCAAGUCUGAUGGAGCAACGCCCCGUGAGUGAAGAAGGGUUUCGGCUCGUAAAGCUCUGUUGGUAGUGAAGAAAGAUAGAGGUAGUAACUGGCCUUUAUUUGACGGUGAUUACUUAGAAAGUCACGGCUAACUACGUGCCAGCAGCCGCGGUAAUACGUAGGUGGCAAGCGUUGUCCGGAUUUAUUGGGCGUAAAGCGAGUGCAGGCGGUUCAAUAAGUCUGAUGUGAAAGCCUUCAGCUCAACCGGAGAAUUGCAUCAGAAACUGUUGAACUUGAGUGCAGAAGAGGAGAGUGGAACUCCAUGUGUAGCGGUGGAAUGCGUAGAUAUAUGGAAGAACACCAGUGGCGAAAGCGGCUCUCUGGUCUGCAACUGACGCUGAGGCUCGAAAGCAUGGGUAGCGAACAGGAUUAGAUACCCUGGGUAGUCCAUGCCGUAAACGAUGAGUGCUAAGUGUUGGGAGGUUUCCGCCUCUCAGUGCUGCAGCUCACGCAAUAAGCACUCC